rnacentral:rRNA from 1 species
CAGUAGCCGCGGUAAUACCGAGGGUGCAAGCGUUAAUCGGAAUUACUGGGCGUAAAGCGCGCGUAGGUGGUUUGUUAAGUUGGAUGUGAAAUCCCCGGGCUCAACCUGGGAACUGCAUCCAAAACUGGCAAGCUAGAGUAUGGUAGAGGGUGGUGGAAUUUCCUGUGUAGCGGUGAAAUGCGUAGAUAUAGGAAGGAACACCAGUGGCGAAGGCGACCACCUGGACUGAUACUGACACUGAGGUGCGAAAGCGUGGGGAGCAAACAGGAUUAGAUACCCGAGUAGUCCCUGUCUCUUAUAC